AUGGAAUUUAAUGAAGAAAUUGAAUGGAAAAAGGAUUCCAGAGUCUGGAGGAAAACCAAAAGGACGGAGCAUGGAAAAGAAAUAUGCUUCAAAAAACCAAUAACUCGAUUCCAUUGUGCUCGGCGGUUCCCCGGAUCUGUCUCUUGCUUCAAAAGUGUUUGGACGGAACAGACCCAGGGUCGCCCUUUCCUCCAGCCUCCGACCACCCUCCAACCUUCGGAGUCAGCCACUCAGCUAUCCUCGGUCACCGGGACCAGCCAACACCAUUUUUUGAGCCGAACUCCUUAUUACCGAUCAACCACGAGCUCCCAGAUUCGUCAGAAUUAUUCCACCGAGGUGGAGGCCGCCGUCAACCGCCUGGUCAACAUGCAUCUGCGGGCCUCCUACACCUACCUCUCUCUGGGCUUCUAUUUCGACCGCGACGAUGUGGCUCUGGAGGGCGUGGGCCACUUUUUCCGCGAAUUGGCCGAAGAGAAGCACGAGAGCCCCGAGCGUCUCUUGAAAAUGCAAAACCAACGCGGCGGCCGCGCCCUCUUCCAGGACGUGCAGAAGCGUCUCAAGAUGAGUGGGGUGAAACUCAGGACGCUGUGGGAGCCGCCAUUAACAUGGAGAAGAACCUGAACCAGGCCCUUCUGGAUCUGCAUGCCCUGGGUUCUGCCCGCGCAGACCCCCACCUCUGCGACUUCCUGGAGAGCCACUUCCUAGAUGAGGAGGUGAAACUCAUCAAGAAGAUGGGUGACCACCUGACCAACCUCCGCAGGCUGGCUGGUCCCCAGGCUGGGCUGGGCGAGUAUCUCUUCGAAAGGCUCACCCUCAAGCACGACUAGGAGCCUCCAGAGCCCAGUGGCCUUUGAGGAGCCCCUGUGGUGUCAGGGCUUCUGCCUGAAGCCCCUCUCUGCAGCCACUAGGCAGCUUUUUAACCACCCU